AGUGAACGCUGGCGGUAGGCCUAACACAUGCAAGUCGAACGGCAGCACAGUAAGAGCUUGCUCUUACGGGUGGCGAGUGGCGGACGGGUGAGGAAUACAUCGGAAUCUACUUUUUCGUGGGGGAUAACGUAGGGAAACUUACGCUAAUACCGCAUACGACCUACGGGUGAAAGCAGGGGAUCUUCGGACCUUGCGCGAUUGAAUGAGCCGAUGUCGGAUUAGCUAGUUGGCGGGGUAAAGGCCCACCAAGGCGACGAUCCGUAGCUGGUCUGAGAGGAUGAUCAGCCACACUGGAACUGAGACACGGUCCAGACUCCUACGGGAGGCAGCAGUGGGGAAUAUUGGACAAUGGGCGCAAGCCUGAUCCAGCCAUGCCGCGUGGGUGAAGAAGGCCUUCGGGUUGUAAAGCCCUUUUGUUGGGAAAGAAAAGCAGCAGGUUAAUACCCCGCUGUUCGGACGGGACCCAAAGAAUAAGCACCGGCGAACUUCGU
rnacentral:rRNA from 1 species